rnacentral:misc_RNA from 1 species
GAUGAAGAACGCAGCGAAAUGCGAUAAGUAAUGUGAAUUGCAGAAUUCAGUGAAUCAUCGAAUCUUUGAACGCACAUUGCGCCCUUUGGUAUUCCUUAGGGCAUGCCUGUUCGAGCGUCAUUUAAACCUUCAAGCCCUGCUUGGUGUUGGGUGCCUGUCCCGCCUCCGCGCGUGGACUCACCUCAAAUCCAUUGGCGGCCCCCGCACGGCCACGAGCGCAGCAGAAACGCAAACUCGUGCCGCGACCGGGCGGCUCCCAGAAGCUACACUCACCAUUUUGACCUCGGAUCAGGUAGGGAUACCCGCUGAACUUAAGCAUAUCAAUAAGCGGAGGA